CCUACGGGAGGCAGCAGUGGGGAAUAUUGGACAAUGGGCGAAAGCCUGAUCCAGCAAUGCCGCGUGUGUGAAGAAGGCCUUCGGGUUGUAAAGCACUUUAAGUUGGGAAGAAAAAGCUCUGGCUAAUAUCUAGAGCCUUGACGGUACCAACAGAAUAAGCACCGGCUAACUCUGUGCUAGCAGCCGCGGUAAUACAGAGGGUGCUAGCGUUAAUCGGAUUUACUGGGCGUAAAGCGUGCGUAGGCGGUUUGAUAAGUCGAUUGUGAAAGCCCCGGGCUUAACCUGGGAAUUGCAGUUGAUACUGUCAGACUAGAAAACGGUAGAGGGAGGCGGAACUCCAGGUGUAGCGGUGAAAUGCGUAGAUAUCUGGAAGAACACCGAUGGCGAAGGCAACCUCCUGGGCCUGUUUUGACGCUGAGGCACGAAAGCGUGGGUAGCAAACAGGAUUAGAUACCCUGGUAGUCCACGCCGUAAACGAUGAGAACUUGACGUUGGUUUGCUUAGCAAAUCGGUGUCGUAGCUAACGCGAUAAGUUCUCCGCCUGGGGAGUACGGCCGCAAGGUUGAAACUCAAAGGAAUUGACGG
rnacentral:rRNA from 1 species